UAGCGCCGCCGGCCGCCCGACGGUUGAACCUGCGGAGCAAUUAUCAAUCGGAGGAGGAUCCGUUGGUCCUGCUGAGGAGCAUAUUAUUAAGCGGAGGAUCAUUUGGACGAGCGCACGCAUUCAAACAAACUCGUAUGGUUGUAUGUACGUUGUAAACGUUGGACCGUCACUGGCCAACAAACUUUAUACAACUUUCGACAACGGAUCUCUUGGUUCUCCCAUCGAUGAAGAACGCAGCGAAACGCGAUAGGUAAUGUGAAUUGCAGAAUUCCGUGAAUCAUCGAAUCUUUGAACGCACCUUGCGCUCCAUGGUAUUCCGUGGAGCAUGCCUGUUUGAGUGCCGCGAAUUCUCCCACCCCAAACGGUUGCCGAAAGGUACUGUGCGGCGGAGGGGUUGGAUGGGUGCUACUGCCUGUGGUGGGGAAACUACAACAGGCUCGCCCGAAAUGCAUUAGCGCCUCAGGACACAUUCGCUACUGCUCUACAAAAGGAAGAGCAGCGAAGCGUAUGGGGGGGAAAACCACCACCGGUUAUUCCAAACCUCGCCUGACUGUUUUUGCGCGCAUGGCAUGAUACGUCAUUUGCUGUGUUGCGUAGGUUGGUGCGUGGGACUGUGUGAGUGCCUCUAGAGCUUUGAGAAGUGUGUUUCGUGUGCUACGAACUGAAAAAGUACAUUCCUUUUUUUCAAUUCUGGUCUCAAAUCAGGUAGGAUCACCCGCUGAACUUAAGCAUAUCAAUAAGCGGAGGAAAAAAGCUUCGGUGUGCAUUUGUAGGACCGCAUUACGAAGCAAGCUUCUGUGGGGCCCACCCAAUAUAGUCAAACCGGGGACAUGCUAUGAGCUGGACCGCAUGACGCGCGAGACAGCCACAGAAAAAU
rnacentral:rRNA from 1 species